rnacentral:rRNA from 1 species
CAGUCGCCGCGGUAAUACGAAGGGUGCAAGCGUUACUCGGAAUUACUGGGCGUAAAGCGUGCGUAGGUGGUGGUUUAAGUCUGCUGUGAAAGCCCUGGGCUCAACCUGGGAAUUGCAGUGGAUACUGGAUCACUAGAGUGUGGUAGAGGGAUGCGGAAUUUCUGGUGUAGCAGUGAAAUGCGUAGAGAUCAGAGGGAACAUCCGUGGCGAAGGCGGCAUCCUGGGCCAACACUGACACUGAGGCACGAAAGCGUGGGGAGCAAACAGGAUUAGAUACCCGAGUAGUCCCUGUCUCUUAUAC